GAAACAUCUUAGUACCCGGAGGAAGAGAAAGAAAAUUCGAUUCCCUUAGUAGCGGCGAGCGAAACGGGAAGAGCCCAAACCAACAAGCUUGCUUGUUGGGGUUGUAGGACACUCUAUACGGAGUUACAAAGGACGACAUUAGACGAAUCAUCUGGAAAGAUGAAUCAAAGAAGGUAAUAAUCCUGUAGUCGAAAAUGUUGUCUCUCUUGAGUGGAUCCUGAGUACGACGGAGCACGUGAAAUUCCGUCGGAAUCUGGGAGGACCAUCUCCUAAGGCUAAAUACUCUCUAGUGACCGAUAGUGAACCAGUACCGUGAGGGAAAGGUGAAAAGCACCCCGGAAGGGGAGUGAAAUAGAA
rnacentral:rRNA from 1 species